UCGAUCUCAAAUCAAGUAAGACUACCCGCUGGACUU
rnacentral:rRNA from 2 species